ensembl:miRNA
GGAGCAGGAGGAGAUGCCCUGGGGGUGCUGCGAAGCCUGCAGCCGCCCAGGGGCUGAGCUGGGCUCUGCAUCACCCCAUGGGCACUGCUCC